AUCUUGAACGCAGGUUAUAGUUUAGAAAAGCGUUGCGUGUGUUUAUUUUGAUAGUGCAGCCUACUAAAUCAAGCCAAUAUACAGGUGCUGAAAGGAUGUGAAAAAUGUGUCUUAUACUGUACAUUUUGCUGGAAUGGGGGAAUCAGCAGGAAUUUUGUGCAGUCAGUAAAUCUACAUAAUCACUCUGGGAAAAUGACCAAACACAUGGGAUGUAUUUAGGGAUAAACAUGAACAUUUUGCUUAGGAUCUUAAAAAGUCAACUUAAUUAAGUCAGCGUUCGAAGUGCUCAGAAAACAUAACCCAUAGAGGUACGAUGUGUUCUCACUAUUCUCUCAAAGUUGGUAAUAGUUUUCAUUUUGUGUCAGGUCAUUUUAAUAAUUUCCUUUCUGAUUUUACGCAGAUAUUACAUUGUAUUUAUCCAGUGGAAAACAAUCAAGCAACUGUACCAGAAAUAAAAAUACAGUCAGGUUUAAAGGGGAACUGACACUAUUUUUUGCAAACCCAAUACCUAGCUAAACGUUAACUGUGCAUUGUGAAUUUUUUUUAAUGCACUUUUACAAUACAAUGGCCGGUGAUACAUUACAUUUACAAUACGAUUGAGAUCAUGGCCAGUUGUGCGGGAGCCUUCUGAGCAGAUACCCAAGUGCAUGAGUCUGGAUCUGUAAAAGACAACAGUCAUCUCACUUUUUAAAUUGAUUGAUUGAUUGUUUCCAGAAAAUGUCACUUUUAAUCUGCCUGAACAGCCAUGUUGGCUCAUGCUCUACUGUUAUCUAACCAACUGCUGCUCAAACUACCGUAUUUUUUGCU